CUCCUCCCCGGCAGUGGUGGAUAGGCACAUGGCUGCGCUGGCGUUUUGAUUAAAACUGCGAGGGUGGGUAGAUUUUACUAAGCACUCUGUGAUAAGACAAGCGCUCAAGGGCUUAUGGAAAGGGAACACAACCCAGGACGCCAGGAGACCGGUUUCCAUUAAAAGUUGAGUUUUCCCUCUGGGACAUCUGCUUUGAUGGUUACGAAACAGAGUUGUUUGAAGUGGCUUUCUUAGACUGUACGGGUGGUGAUCUAUCUGGCCCGGUCUAAGACUGAUGUCAGGGGGAAAGGUGUUGAGGCAGUGCUACAUGUUUUUCCGGGAUCCCCCUUGUGCCAGGUGGCUAGUACUACUCAAUACUUGUCUCGGCGUCCAACAACUGGCAGCUGGUUCUUAGUGCAUGUCAAUGGUUAGUCGCUCUCCCGUUUUCAGUUUCUCAGGGUCUUUCGAAUGGGGCUUAUCAGGCUGGUCUCCAGCCAAGCCAGUUAGGAAUGCAUUCAUUCAGGGGCCGCGAUAGAGGCAACAAGCUUGGGUUUGGGAGAAGAGCUUGUGAAAAAGAUUGGUAGGUGGGAAUCAGUUCGGUUCCGGUCUUAAAGUGAACGGAUUGAUGGCUGGCUUUGUCAGGAAGGUGGGGGGAGCGGUGGUUCGGCAAAGGGAGCUGAAAGGCGUGUUAGUGGCUAUUUCUCUCCUGAUGGGGUCCAUCUCUCAGAUGUGGGGUGGGACCUGUUUAAUUUAGGAUUGCAGGAAGGCUUGGUCAGGAUGUUAUUUCUGCGAGGUGGCAGAACUCAGACAGCUUAAGGUUUCAAGGUCUGAGCUUGCAGGGGUAAGGCACAUUAAGGAAAAAUGGGCCUUAGUUAAUAUAGGAGUAAGGGGAGUUAGUUGAUUGGUUUAAAGGGUACACUGUUCGUACAUGUUUUGGUAGGUUUGAAGUCCAUGUAUCUGGGUAUACCCCUACCAGUUGAAACUGAUGAAUGUUGGCACUUUACAUGUUAUAUUUAAAU